rnacentral:lncRNA from 1 species
GGGAUGAGGAGUCUAGUGUUUGCCCCAAAUUAGGCUGCCUAUAACCCCCUACCCAUCUCUUUCCAGCUCGGAACUGCUGAUUUCUCCUUCCCAGCUAUGAGACUGAAAUGUCAGGUAACAAACAUGGACCUCAGCUGUUUUCCAGAGGGCAGGAUAGGAGAACCUGGACCUCGGGAUCAGUAAUCCAGUCAUCUCUCAAGAUCAUGUUCCACUGCUCUACAUGAGGAUUACUGCAGAACUUGGGGGUGCCACCACCCUGAGGCUCCUUGCACUAGAUAACCUGCAUUGCUCUCUGGUAACACUGCUUUCCCUGAGGGAGCCCAAGAGGCCAAGAAGAAGCUGCUCAACACUUCACCUUGGACUCGAGGACCUUCUCAAUCCCUCAAAAAUGGACCUUCACUCCUUUGAGACUACAGAUUGCCAGGGGAACUGAGAGGAGAGGUCAGGUGUCUAAAGAAUUGACUAGGUCAAGACCGACCAUCCACCGGCUGUUCCACUGGAUGCAAACUUCUUGGAGUAACCACGGCCACGGGGACCUUCACAGUGCAGCAUGGAUCUCCUUCGCCUCUGAUGUCUCCCUCGUCUCUGGAGUCUCCCACACCUCAAUAUACCUAAAAUAGAACUCUUUAUCUUUCCACCCAAACCCUAUAUAUAUCUGCUAUUUAUUUUUUAUUAAUUUAUUAUAAUAUCUGUCUCCCCCCUCUAGCAUUAAGCUCACUGUGGGAGAGCACUGUGUGUCAUGAUUGUUCAUUCAGUCAUUCAUUCGAUAGUAUUUUUUACAGAGCACUGUACCAAGCUCUUGGAAAGUACAAUUCAGCAAUAAAGACAGACAAUCCCUGCGCACACCGGGCUUCAAGCUUGUUAUGCUGUACUCUCCCUAGUGCUUUGUUCAGUGCUCUGCAUACAGUAAGCAUUCAGUAAAAAUGAUGGAUUGGCCCAGAUAGCAAUGGUGAGUAUUGAUUGCUGGGGCUCCUGGGGCCACAAGUGGAUCAUGGGACUAGGGGGCUUGGAUAAUUAUGGCCCCUGGGAGCCAAAGUAGGUUAUUUCACCCCUUGGAGGCCCAAGUGAUUUAUUAUGCACCCCGGGCAGGUUGGCAAUUGGUUCUUUGGGGUCCUCAGGGGCUGGAGUGAGUCACUGGGGCCCCCGAGGCACUCAGGUGUGUUAUUAUGCCACCUGUGGCAGGGGGAGUGACAUGGGUCUGGUUAUUGGGGCUCUUGGAGCCUCAAAUGGAGUAUUGAGGCCACUGGGCACCAAAGUGGGAUAUUGGGACCCCCAAGUGCCCAACUGAAUUAUUGGGGUCCCUGUAGGCCCGAGUGGGUUAUUUGGGACCCCAGGGCCCCAAAUGGCUUAUUGGGCACCCAAGUGAGUUACUGGGACUCCUGGGAGCCCAUGUGGCCAACUGGGACCCCUGCGGGCCAAAAUGGAUUAUUAGGACCCCCAGGAUGACAAGUGAUUAUUACGCCCCCACUCCCCCCGGGGGAAAAGAAGAUUGAUUCUCUGCCGGGGGAGGGGGCACCAGAGGGCGCUAGAGAGGCGCAGCUACCCAGACCAAUGCCUACAGCCACGAGGGGCUGAUAGAGAAGCACACACAGCUUCACAGAACAAGCCUACUGCAGUACCAUUCUAUCCUGCCACCAGGCGGCGAUAGAG